rnacentral:tRNA from 1 species
GGUCGUUAGCUCAGCGGUAGAGCAGGAGACUCUUAAUCUCUUGGUCCAGGGUUCGAAUCCCUGACGGCCCA